CCUAAACACUGGGCAACAUUAGGGAAGAAAGUGCCGCUUCUAUAGAAGAGGUAUUUUGUUACUCACAGCAGUGAAGGAAAGGGAUUAGUAGGAAAGGCGCGUUUCGCUACCUAUAGAGACAAAGCAUCCCGAUGGCUCAGAAAUUGCACGUCGUUCUUAACAGCUGUAUACAGCUCUUGGAGAGAGUUUCCAAGCAAAUUACAGCAGCGUCCUACAGCAAGCUGACAAAGAGAUUCCGGGAAUGCCAAGCACCGAGGAGGGAAACACGAAUCCCUCUCUCUUUAGCCCGAAGCACGAAAUUGGCUUAAAGCUCAUUUUGCUGAUAGCCGGAAACGAAAUCAUCAGCGCGUGGGACCGGGCGGCUGCAACUUUCAGAUGCGCGGGAUCAACGUGUGACACCUCCUCGGGGAGGGGGAAUAACCAAGAAGAAAAAAAAGAAGGAAAACGCGUGAACCGCGGGCUGGAAGGGCUCUGAGGGAAACUCACAUCCCAACACGCCUUUCUCGCCCCGCGCGGCACCGAUACGCGUAAGCUGUGUCCCGAAACCGCUCCCACGGGAUGGGAAAUUGAAUGUCAUAGAACCACAGAGUGGUAUUUUGGUUUUCACAAUUCAUUUAAGACUCGAGAAAGAGAACAGAACAAAACACCUGCAUCUAGCAGUAUAGAUGAAAUAGCGCAUAACUCCAAAUUUACGCAGCAGAUCCCUAUCUUAUCUCACACCGGAUACCCGAGCAGUUGGCCAGAGGCGCUCUCUGUAAGAGGCGCUCAGCGACGCCCGACGCACCGCCGCGCCCGGGGAGCAAACGACUCCCGAAGUCGGGCCGCCCCGCCCGGGGCAAGCAGGGCCCCGCGCCAACGAACACCUCGGCACCAGGAGCGCUCUGCCCGUUGCCCGGCCGCAGGCUGCGCGCUCCCGGCGUACACACGGACGCGCUCUGCUCGCCGCGGGUUCGGCUCGGGACGCUCACAGCGGGCACACGGCCGUCCCGCAGCCGCCCCCGAGCGGAGCCGCUGCGCUCCCCGCGCCCCGGAGGACGGCGAUGGAGGUGCCCGAAAGGACCCCGGGCCGCGGGGCCGCUCACUCGCGAGUCCUUUCACUGCGUUUCCCUCUUUUCACCAGGGAAAGUUCUCCCGUGCGAUCGUUCCCAUAAGUUCUCGGCAGCACGCCUUCACUUAAAGCACGUUCGGGCUUUUCUAUCCCCAUGGCGUGCAGACAGCUCACCAGAAUUCACACCCGUCGUACGGACACGCGGUCCUUCGAAGAGCUAGAAAAGCUUCCCACCACCUCACGGUGUUAAAAGAACAUUUGUGACAGCAGGUUGUUUGUUUUGUCCUGGGAUACGAUAGUAAGGAGCCCGCUUAACUGCAAGCAAAGAACACGCAGUCUCCCGAGGAGCUGCAGGUUUGCAGGGCAGGCAGGCCCUUCGCUGUGCAGAAAUGUACGUGUGAGCUUCAGCCGUGCCUCCCAAACCUGGAGACUUCUUAGUUGGCUUUUUUUUUUUUUUUUCCCUCCCCGUGACCGCUCUAAGAGAUGCGAAAUUGUUCAUUCAUUAUCUCAACAUUCACUGCAAUAUUUCUGCUGCCAAUUGCUGUGGAUAGCUGCAGUGCCAAAUACGCCUUUACUGAAAGAUGAGCACAGAGGAAAGGAUGCAUUUCUCCUGGGAAAUAAUCUGUUAGCACUUUGCCCACACAUCUUAAGGACUCGACAACUCCCUUUUUUUCAGUCCUUUAGAUGGCAACUUUCUCUGGAGUUGGGCUCCUUCCACACUCUGAAGAUGAAUUUGUCACAGAAGUUAGACUUGCUUCUGAUAACUGAUACCUUCCUGUGUACGUUCUGUCAACGUAUCACAAAUACAUUGAUUCUGAAAAUACUUGGGCAAAUAACAACAGUAAUUUAAAGC
ensembl:lncRNA